rfam:Lysobacter daejeonensis GH1-9 contig8, whole genome shotgun sequence.
GCGAAAGUGGCGGAAUUGGUAGACGCCCUGGAUUUAGGUUCCAGUGCCGCAAGGCGUGCGGGUUCGAGUCCCGCCUUUCGCA